rnacentral:rRNA from 1 species
AGUGAACGCUGGCGGUAGGCCUAACACAUGCAAGUCGAACGGCAGCACAGUAAGAGCUUGCUCUUACGGGUGGCGAGUGGCGGACGGGUGAGGAAUACAUCGGAAUCUACUUUUUCGUGGGGGAUAACGUAGGGAAACUUACGCUAAUACCGCAUACGACCUACGGGUGAAAGCAGGGGAUCUUCGGACCUUGCGCGAUUGAAUGAGCCGAUGUCGGUUUAGCUAGUUGGCGGGGUAAAGGCCCACCAAGGCGACGAUCCGUAGCUGGUCUGAGAGGAUGAUCAGCCACACUGGAAGUGAGACACGGUCCAGACUCCUACGGGAGGCAGCAGUGGGGAAUAUUGGACAAUGGGCGCAAGCAUGAUCCAGCCAUACCGCGUGGGUGAAGAAGGCCUUCGGGUUGGAAAGCCCUUUUGUUGGGAAAGAAAAGCAGCAGGUUAAUACCCCGCUGUUCUGACGGUACCCAAAGAAUAAGCACCGGCUAACUUCGUG